UUAUACAAGAGCGCAGCCCCACUCUGUCUUCUCCUGGAACACCCAGCUCCGCUCUCCUCCGAUCCACAUGAUCACUCUCUCAGCCGGGUAUGUGGCUGGGUCGCCUGCGUUCUUCACCAUGUAGGACAAGUCGACUCCUAGCCUGGCGCGGCCGUGCAUAGCGACCAUAGAACAUCCGGCGAGUUCAUGCUGGAGAGCAAGAACAAGGCAGCAGCGUCGUCCGGAGUCCCGGUGAGGCACGCGGCGUAGUCCGGAGUCACCGCCAGCGAACAACAACACACGGGAGUGGAGAUCGAUCCUGCCUGCAGCCUUCCAGGAAAAUAUUCUCAAAGAACCUGGGCCACUCUUGUGAUGGAAGAAUACUUGGUGAGAAUGUAUGAGCAGCCCGCCCCGGCCUUCCCACAUUCCCACGUUACAAAAAGGAAGAAGCUAUGAAUCUCACAACUUAGCUAAGCAUGUGUGUACUUUCAGUUUGGAUCGUCAUUGUAUGGCUUUGUAUAACCUGAUGAUCACAUAUAACAGUUCCUGCAAACAUUUCUCAUGACCAAAAGGGAAAAGCGAAAUGGCGAUAACACAUACAGGCGGGACUACUGCGCAAAAAUAUACUAGGCAGAAGGUGGUCGCUGUUCCAAGGCCUUGCCCGAUUGAUCAGUCAACGGUUGCCGCAGGUACUAACCAUAAUAUGAUCUUUUCUUUGCCCCUGUUUUUUCUAAUUUCUUUGUUACUGCUGUUAUUGUUUUAUGUGACAGCUAUGGCUGAAGUAAUAUGGGGAACAAAUUGGCGUCUUGAAUUUUGGGCACAUAUUUUUCUGUGAGUGUAGAUUUUGGGGUGAUUUAUUAGACGGCCGAUUUGCCAUGUCCCAAGUGCCCAUUUGCGAGCCAUGCAAGAUCUACAAAGUGAACUGCUUACCCAAAGUAAAGCUCCUGAGAUUGGUAUUAGUAAAUAGGAUUUCUUUUUAUCAUAUUCAUAUAUACAAAGAACAACAUCAAGAAAUGUUUUCAUACAACCACACAUUUAUUAAAAAAUACAAACACGAUGAUAGUACUCAUGAGGUAAGGUGGACUGAUCAGCAUCCUCGUUCUUCUUCUUGGCACUGUUACAUUAAAGGUGACAGUUUGUUAAGAGCGUUAUGAGCUAAUGGGAAUGUAGAUAUCUUGAUAACAGGUUAAUAUGCCGGCCCAUUUCUAUUCAGAAACCACCCCCUCCCCCCUAAUCAGCUAGCAAACUAGAAAGAUGUUGUUUUUAGAGGGGUCAUAACAAACCAAGUGUCGGCCAACUUUCUAUAUAGCCUCUUGGUGCUCCCACCAAUCUAAAUUAUUUGAAGUUCUAGGUUCGUCGAAAGUCAAACUUCUUUAUGGUUGGCUAAGUCUAUAUGAAAAUAUCCUCCUAUCUAUAACAUCAGAUUGUAGUAUGAAACUAUAUUUUAUGAUGAAUUGAAUCUAUGGCUCAUGAAGUAGUGAUACAAAAAGAAGCAUGGCUUUGUGAAACUAUUCAAUUCCUUUAAAAAUGCGCUAUUUUGAUACAUUGUGAAGAACAGAAAAAUGUAACUUCAAGGAAUUUACUAACCAUGUAACAUAUUAUGCGAAACCGCCAAUGCUGAGUAUGGCGCCGAACGCCCAAAUGGAGACGAAUAGAAGAACACCCCCGAUCCAUAAACGGCGCCUAUAGGUGAGGCUUGACUUGCAAAUCCAGAAUGCAGUGAAGACCUCUACGAUGCUGAAGACAAAAAUGAUGGUGAGGAUGACAUAGUAGGCAAACUUGUUGUGGUCGAAGACUACUCCGCUGGGCGGCUUGUAAAGCGCCAUGCGCACAUCCAUAACCAGGGUGUGUGAACCCACUGUCCCCAGCGCACGUGCGAUCAACUGCAAUGCAGACUCCUGGGUGGGUACAUUCACAUGCUGGUUUAUGUUGAUUCUCACAUGGUGGUCGUCGCCGCCCUAUACAACGAAAGAGCCUCACAUGUCAUCAGCAGUUCAGCAAUGCAAAUACGAUGAAAGAAAUAUAUAGCUACCAGCGUACAGACUUUUCUUUG